CCGAACAUAAUAGAAAAUAAAUUUUUAUAACUCGUUUAAAAGCAACAAUUUUUCUUACGCCCACCAGUCACAAAUGCAAUGGUACCGCUACUUUUAACCCUGUUGGUACCUUUAGUGGCCUCUGGCCCGGUUACCAAGCUAGCAAAUCCUGGUGAAUUUCCAUACGUUGUUUCGAUUCGAUUAUCUUCAAAUAAUUUGCAUUUUUGCGUGGGUUCUGUCAUUGGUGCCCAUUGGGUACUAUCAUCAGCCAUUUGUUUCACACUUCCGAAUUCUUCCAAACAAAUUGUGAAUGGUACCGAUUUGAUCAUUUACAGUAACACUAUAAUGAGUGGCGGUACCAUUGGUAAUCUGAACUAUGGUAAAAAUCUGAUACUACAUCCCGGGUUCGUACGAACCCCUCAAAUAAUCCGUAACGACAUUGCGUUAAUCCAAGUCAAAAGUUCGUUCUAUUGGUGGUGGCAAAAUAAAUUAGGUGUUAGUACCACAAGUCCGAUUUCAAUCGGGCGCCAAAUUUUAGGUUCAGAUGGGCUUUCCCUAGCUUGGAGUACUCUAACACCGGAUUUGAAGAAGUUAGUUUCUGCCAAAUUAACAGUCUUUCGCCUGUCUACAACCGCAAGUACUACCAAUGGUUGUACCAACAGUGACGAAUUUAUUUGUACCAUCAAUAAACCUAAUGAUAAGACUUGUCAUUAUGAAGCUGGAGCGCCUCUUAUCACUGAUCGUGAAAAGUACCAUAAAUUGGUGGGCGUGGCGUCCCAUCUGUUCAAUGGGUGCCAGUCCAGUCCUGGAUCUUUUACCAGAGUUGAGUACUUUUUACCAUGGAUUAAUGAUGUCACGAAAUUGGGUCUUAGAGUUGAAUAAAUGAAAUUAGCACGAUUUUUAUUGUUUUAAAACCACUCUGGUACCAACAGUACCACAAAAAUAAAGUCUUGUGAACAAUU